rnacentral:rRNA from 1 species
UACGUAGGGCGCAAGCGUUAUCCGGAAUUAUUGGGCGUAAAGAGCUCGUAGGCGGUUUGUCGCGUCUGCCGUGAAAGUCCGGGGCUCAACUCCGGAUCUGCGGUGGGUACGGGCAGACUAGAGUGAUGUAGGGGAGACUGGAAUUCCUGGUGUAGCGGUGAAAUGCGCAGAUAUCAGGAGGAACACCCGUAGCGAAGGCGGCACUCUGGGCCGGAACUGACGCUGAGGAGCGAAAGCGUGGGGAGCGAACAGG